UUGUGAAACUGAGCCAUCAACUGUGCCUAGAGAUCACUGAAGUGAAGGACCGGAGACACUAAAGCUAAGAGUUAACGUUUAUUGAGCAUCUACAGUAUACCAAGCCCUCUUCUAGAAACAAAUGAACACAAAGUUCUUGGCACAGUGCCUGGCACAGUCAGGCUCCAUCAAGUUUCAUUUCCUUUCUCCCUGCUAUUAAAUGAGAAAGAGGGCAUGAGGAGGUGGGAGUAAAGGAGCCAGAAAGGGAAGGUAGGAGACUGGCAAGAAGAAGCUCUGGCUGCUCUGGGAUGCAACAUGCAGGUUCCCGCAACCCUCCUGGAGUAGGAGGAGAAGCUGCCCCUCACUGACCACUCAGGAAGGAGAGAAGCUUCCCAUGUCAACGCCCCCAGCUCUCAUCUGGGUCAGAGCCAGCAAUGAGGACAGAUGGAAACUUGAACUACGUGCUGGCAAGAAUGUGGCUGACAACACGGUGACCUGGAUCUGCCUCCAGGGGUGCUGGCAGAGCAGGGCUCUCACGCAGGGUUAGGAGAUGCACAGAAUUCAAGGCUUCCGAGUGACAGUUAGCAGAACCUGAAUGGGCUGCUCAUCAAGGAAAAAGCCCUGAUGGAGUCCAGGAACUCAAGUCCCAGUUCUGGUUCCUUCGCCAUUCAGCUGUGCCAUCAUGGGCACAUCACUUAGCCUCACUGGAGUUCAGUUUCCUCAGUAGUAAAAUGUGGUAAGGCUCCAUGAAGUCAGAUAUCAAACAUUUCCAUUGCUACAUUCUCCAGGCCUAAUCUGCAUCCUCCCAGAGUGGCUCUUCAGUGAACAUCUACUGAAUUGAACAGACAUGCACAGAGCAGAUGGACAGCACUAGGGACUUGUCCUCUGGCCCCAGAGGCCCAUGAAAGAGUAUCCAGGCAGGCUGGACUAUGCUGGGAAGGGGGAAGGCCUGGGCCCUCAUCGAAAGGGAAGGACCCCAAAAGGAAGAGAAACCCAUCAACAUCCUGUUAACUAAACGGAGAGAAAUGCUGUUUAGGGGAAAAAAAAAAAAACAUAAUAAAUAAAAUUCCUGAGAGAAGCUGCUAAGUCAGGGAGCACCACACUCAUCCCCUUCUGCAAGAGAAUGAGAAGAUGGAGCUACAGCUCCCGUCCCACAUCAGCAUCUGGUGUGGCCUUCCCGCCACGGGCCAUGGGUCGGACCUGGCUCCACAGACAAAGGGGCUGCUUAGGCUGGGCUUGAAAUAGGCUGAGUGAAAACCUGCGAGCCCCUGGCUGCUUCCCUGUGCAUGGAAAGGAGCUGUUGGUGAGUAUGGAGAUCUCUGCCCUUGUCAGAGGAAGGCUUCCUCAUCACAAGGCAGGGCAGGUGUCUGUGCCCAAGAGCUGAGCAGAGAACAAGCAGCCAGUGGAGGCUUUCGCCUGAACUGUGCAAUCCUUACCUGAUUGGGAAGUGCAAGUGACAAUUAAUAAAUUAAUAGCGAGUCACUUUAUGUAAAUACCUCUCUUUUUGUACACUAUAUUUAGAGAAACAAACUGCUUUGGCAUUUAGAGAUAAAUUUUAUGUAAGAGUUUAUUGCUGCUUCUGCUGUUGUUACUGUUCAUCAUCCAGAUAAUAAAAGCAAA
rnacentral:lncRNA from 1 species